rnacentral:rRNA from 1 species
GACGAACGCUGGCGGCGUGCUUAACACAUGCAAGUCGAGGGCACUUUGGUAGCAAUACUGGAGUGACCGGCGAACGGGUGCGUAACACGUGAGCGACCUUGCCUCGUGGUGGGGGAUAGCCGGCCCAACGGCCGGGUAAUACCGCAUAGGGUGGUUUUCUCGCAUGGGAGAACCAGCAAAGCCCUGGAGCAAUCCAGUGGCGCCACAGGGGGGCUCGCGGCCUAUCAGCUAGUUGGGGGGUAAUGGCCCACCAAGGCGACGACGGGUAGCUGGUCUGAGAGGAUGGCCAGCCACAUUGGGACUGAGAGACGGCCCAGACUCCUACGGGAGGCAGCAGUGGGGAAUCUUGCGCAAUGGCCGAAAGGCUGACGCAGCGACGCCGCGUGGGGAGGAAGGCCUCGGGUUGUAACCCUGUUGCCGGGACGAAUGUGCUCUUUAGAGAGUAUUGACGGUACCGGGUGAGGAAGCACCGGCUAACUCCGUGCCAGCCGCCGCAGUAAG